AAAUUGAAGAGUUUGAUCAUGGCUCAGAUUGAACGCUGGCGGCAGGCCUAACACAUGCAAGUCGAACGGUAACAGGAAGCAGCUUGCUGCUUCGCUGACGAGUGGCGGACGGGUGAGUAAUGUCUGGGAAACUGCCUGAUGGAGGGGGAUAACUACUGGAAACGGUAGCUAAUACCGCAUAAUGUCGCAAGACCAAAGAGGGGGACCUUCGGGCCUCUUGCCAUCGGAUGUGCCCAGAUGGGAUUAGCUAGUAGGUGGGGUAACGGCUCACCUAGGCGACGAUCCCUAGCUGGUCUGAGAGGAUGACCAGCCACACUGGAACUGAGACACGGUCCAGACUCCUACGGGAGGCAGCAGUGGGGAAUAUUGCACAAUGGGCGCAAGCCUGAUGCAGCCAUGCCGCGUGUAUGAAGAAGGCCUUCGGGUUGUAAAGUACUUUCAGCGGGGAGGAAGGGAGUAAAGUUAAUACCUUUGCU
rnacentral:rRNA from 1 species